GUGAGCAACGUCUCUCAACAAGACCAGGAAGUACGCUUCAAAAACGAAGUCUGGUUUUGGCUGGUUUUUGAGUCAGAGAUAUAAGGCAUUUUCUCUAAGGACGCACUGAUUGAUUGACCACUGAUCGUUAUCAGCUGAUAAUACUGCUAAUGUUUUUGCUAGUUCGAAAAGAACCAAUUGUCAGUUUCGAUUAUGUCCUGUCAAUCAAAAAAUUGUAUAUUUGUAACAGUGUAAAUAUUAAUCUUGUAGUAUUAUAGUUAAAUUCAUUUUUAAUUUGGGCACACCAACCAUUUUUUUGGUAGGCCUUUUAUUUUAUAAACGGUGCAUCUAGUUUUGUCGAUGGUAGGCUUUUAUUUUAUGGUAUAUUCCGGUGCACUGUGGGUAACCUACAGCAGUGUAGGAUUGCCAUGCAGCGGAGUGAGCAAGCUGUGCUGAACCACUUAUUCACCUUCCUGAACAGACUGAUUGUGUGUGUCCCAUUACAGGUAUGAUCAUGUGUUUGUUAUAUUAACCAUUUGGCUCACGUUCACCAUUUUAAUAAGUAGGCCUAAAGGCUGUUCAUUCGCGUUUGUCGACUGGAAUAUGCCUGCUUCUGUAACAUUCCCGAGGGUGGCAGCAGAGGACCAUUUGUAAAUUAAUUAUUCCCUUGUUAAAAAAACGUAUGGGCAUUCAGAGCAUAGGAUUAUAUGACAGUCAUUUUAAUAUAUUUUAUUUUAUUUCAUUUGUAAGUUUAUUUUAUUUAGAUUAUAUUACUAUACGAUCACAAUGUAAAGACUACAAUGUUAAGUUUUUCAAGCCAACAGGGUAACCUACAGCAGUGUAGGAUUGCCAUGCAGCGGAGUGAGCAAGCUGCAAACUUAUUUACCUUCCUGAACAGACUGGUUGUGUGUGUCCCAUUACAGAAUAAAAUACUUGAAUGUUCCAUC